rnacentral:rRNA from 1 species
AGCAGUCGCCGCGGUAAUACGUAGGUGGCAAGCGUUGUCCGGAAUUAUUGGGCGUAAAGGGCUCGCAGGCGGUUUCUUAAGUCUGAUGUGAAAGCCCCCGGCUCAACCGGGGAGGGUCAUUGGAAACUGGGAAACUUGAGUGCAGAAGAGGAGAGUGGAAUUCCACGUGUAGCGGUGAAAUGCGUAGAGAUGUGGAAGAACACCAGUGGCGGAGGCGACUCUCUGGUCUGUAACUGACGCUGAGGAGCGAAAGCGUGGGGAGCGAACAGGAUUAGAUACCCGCGUAGUCCCUGUCUCUUAUAC